rnacentral:rRNA from 1 species
UGGGGUAAUGGCCUACCAAGGCGACGACGGGUAGCCGGCCUGAGAGGGCGACCGGCCACACUGGGACUGAGACACGGCCCAGACUCCUACGGGAGGCAGCAGUGGGGAAUAUUGCGCAAUGGGCGGAAGCCUGACGCAGCGACGCCGCGUGAGGGAUGACGGCCUUCGGGUUGUAAACCUCUUUCAGCUCUGACGAAGCGCAAGUGACGGUAGGAGCAGAAGAAGCACCGGCCAACUACGUGCCAGCAGCCGCGGUAAUACGUAGGGUGCAAGCGUUGUCCGGAAUUAUUGGGCGUAAAGAGCUCGUAGGCGGUCUGUCGCGUCGAGUGUGAAAACCCGGGGCUCAGCCCCGGGCCUGCAUUCGAUACGGGCAGACUAGAGUUCGGUAGGGGAGUCUGGAAUUCCUGGUGUAGCGGUGAAAUGCGCAGAUAUCAGGAGGAACACCGGUGGCGAAGGCGGGACUCUGGC